CAGCAGCCGCGGUAAUACAGAGGGUGCGAGCGUUAAUCGGAAUUACUGGGCGUAAAGCGCACGCAGGCGGUCUGACAAGUCAGAUGUGAAAUCCCCGGGCUUAACCUGGGAACUGCAUUUGAAACUGUCAGGCUGGAGUCUUGUAGAGGGGGGUAGAAUUCCAGGUGUAGCGGUGAAAUGCGUAGAGAUCUGGAGGAAUACCGGUGGCGAAGGCGGCCCUUUGGACAAAGACUGACGCUCAGGUGCGAAAGCGUGGGGAGCAAACAGGAUUAGAUACCCCGGUAGUCCCUGUCUCUUAUAC
rnacentral:rRNA from 1 species